AUACACGGGCAUAAAUACCCUAAAGACACCAGAUCCUCUCUGGGCUUGGAAGCUAAGCAGGGUCAGCUCUAAUUAAUAGUUGGAUGGGAGACCACCAAUGAAUACCAGGCGCUGUAGGUU
rnacentral:rRNA from 1 species